rnacentral:snoRNA from 1 species
GUUGGCUGAAAUUACCUGCGGCUGUGACAGUGGCCGUGGGUACGAUUCGAGCCCAAAGUUACUAGGGCCCCGUUUACCACCUACUGCCUCGCACCCCUACAAGU